rnacentral:lncRNA from 1 species
CACGUGUCAAACACAUCUGAAAGAAGGGAAAGGGAGAUGACAGUGCCAACCUCGCAGAGUGAGGAGGAGGGAAAUGGCAGUCAAGAAACCAGCAGCUGACACAGAGCAGGCAGGUAAUCAGUGAUGGUCAUUAUCCCUUCCCCU